rnacentral:rRNA from 1 species
AACGAACGCUGGCGGCGUGGAUUAGGCAUGCAAGUCGAACGAUCUCCUACUUCGGUGGGGGAUAGUGGCGAACGGGUGAGUAACACGUGGGUAAUUUACCAUCGGGUUCGGAACAACUUGUCGAAAGACGGGCUAAUACCGGAUAAGACCACGGCACUUCGGUGCUGCGGUUAAAGCGGGGAUCCUGAAAAUGGACCUGUCGCCCUUUGAUGAGCCCGCGUCCUAUCAGCUUGUUGGUGAGGUAAUGGCUCACCAAGGCGACGAUGGGUAGCUGGUCUGAGAGGAUGAUCAGCCACACUGGAACUGAGACACGGUCCAGACUCCUACGGGAGGCAGCAGUCGGGAAUUUUGGGCAAUGGGCGCAAGCCUGACCCAGCAACGCCGCGUGAGGGAUGAAGGCCCUCGGGUCGUAAACCUCUGUCGGGAGGGAAGAACGUUCUCCGGGUGAACAAUUCGGGGAGCUGACGGUACCUCCAAAGGAAGCACCGGCUAACUCCGUG